GAUGAACGCUGGCGGCGUGCCUAAUACAUGCAAGUCGAGCGAAUGGAUUAAGAGCUUGCUCUUAUGAAGUUAGCGGCGGACGGGUGAGUAACACGUGGGUAACCUGCCCAUAAGACUGGGAUAACUCCGGGAAACCGGGGCUAAUACCGGAUAACAUUUUGAACCGCAUGGUUCGAAAUUGAAAGGCGGCUUCGGCUGUCACUUAUGGAUGGACCCGCGUCGCAUUAGCUAGUUGGUGAGGUAACGGCUCACCAAGGCAACGAUGCGUAGCCGACCUGAGAGGGUGAGCGGCCACACUGGGAAGGAGACACGGCCCAGACUCCUACGGGAGGCGGCAGUAGGGAAUCUUCCGCAAUGGACGAAAGUCUGACGGAGCAACGGCGCGUGAGUGAUGAAGGCUUUCGGGUCGUAAAACUCUGUUGUUAGGGAAGAACAAGUGCUAGUUGAAUAAGCUGGCACCUUGACGGUACCUAACCAGAAAGCCACGGCUAACUACGUGCCAGCAGCCGCAGUAA
rnacentral:rRNA from 1 species